GACGAACGCUGGCGGCGUGCUUAACACAUGCAAGUCGAACGGACAACCCCGCUUGUGGGGGGUUUAGCGGUGAACGGGUGAGUAAGACGUACGCGACCAUCCCCCACCUCUGGGACAGCUAUAAGAACUUGAGACCGGUACCGGCACUGACUGCUGUCCGCAUGCUCUGGGGGCGGUAGGAAUUAGCGGCUGUGGAUGGGCCCGUGGCUGAUCAGCUUGUUGGUGGGGUAGUGGCUGACCAAGGCGACGACGGGUAGCCGGCCUGAGAGGGUGACCGGCGACACUGGGACUGAGACACGGCCCAGACGCCUACGGGAGGCAGCAGGGGGGAAUAUUGCGCAAUGGGCGAAAGCCUGACGCAGCGACGCCGCGUGGGGGAUGACGGCCUUCGGGUUGUAAACCUCUGUCAGCGGGGACGAAGCGAAAGUGACGGUACCUGCAGAAGAAGCACCGGCUAACUACGUG
rnacentral:rRNA from 1 species